rnacentral:rRNA from 1 species
GACGAACGCUGGCGGCGUGCUUAACACAUGCAAGUCGAGCGGUAAGGCCCUUUCGGGGGUACACGAGCGGCGAACGGGUGAGUAACACGUGGGUGACCUGCCCUCAGCUCUGGAAUAAGCCUGGGAAACCGGGUCUAAUACUGGAUAUGACUCCAUGACGCAUGUUGUGGGGUGGAAAGCCUUGUGCGGCUGAGGAUGGGCCCGCGGCCUAUCAGCUUGUUGGUGGGGUGAGGCCUACCAAGGCGACGACGGGUAGCCGGCCUGAGAGGGCGACCGGCCACACUGGGACUGAGACACGGCCCAGACUCCUACGGGAGGCAGCAGUGGGGAAUCUUGCGCAAUGGGCGAAAGCCUGACGCAGCGACGCCGCGUGAGGGAUGACGGCCUGGUU